rnacentral:tRNA from 2 species
CGGCGCCUGGGGCAAUGGCGACCAGCCGUGCUCGGCCAGGCUGGCCGGGCUUGGGUAGUGGGCCGGCCAUUGCGCGUUCAGGUCGGGCGGCGCCGCC